rnacentral:SRP_RNA from 1 species
GCAGGGCUGUGACUCACACCUGUAAUCCCAACACUUUGGGAGGCGAAGGCAAGAGGAUCGCUCAAGCCCAGGAGUUCUAGGCAACAGUGUACCAUGCUGAUCAGGUAUCUACACUAGGUUUGGCAUCAAUAUGGUAACCUCCCUGGUGCAGGGGACCACUAGGUUGCCUAAGUAACUGAGCAGGUCAAAACUCUCAUGCUGAUCAGUAGUGGGAUCAUGCCUGUGAAUAGCCACUGCACUUCAGCCUGGGCAACAUAGUGAGACCCCAUCUCA